rnacentral:lncRNA from 1 species
UGUAUGGAUAUGUGGAGUCACGCCACACAUGAGAAUUGCUUAAAAUAAUGGUUCUCAUGUAAUAUUAGUAUUAUAUUGUAUUAUUAGUGUUGUUGUUGUUGUUGUUGUUGUUGUUUUUUGAAGGGUGUGGCCACCAUCCGCACACCUCAACUUUCCUUGUGGAGGUGUUGCUCCAAUCAAAAGUCAAGAGAGCAAAGGGUCAAAAGUUCUUUUAAAAGACAUGAGAUAGGGUUUAGAAUGACUCAUUCCUUUGUAUGAUAUGGCGAGGAAGGUACGUUGUACUUGACCAAUGCUACACCAAUGCUUCAUAAUGUUUGCCUCUUAAUUAGAAUUCCUAUACAUCCAAUAUUUUGGAGACUUUCUUUCCUUAAGAAAUGAUACGAUAAAUUAUGAAUCCACAUGGAAGUUUCCACAUUGUACUUAGGUCAUGUCUUGUAAUACAUGUAUGUAUUAAACCUUGGGUUGAAGCUCUUUUCUUUCUUUCUCAUAUAUAUAUAUAUAUAUAUAUAUUUAUAUUUAACCUAAAACUGUACCAUUUGUUCUUUUAUUGUAUUUUUUAAAAAUUACAAUUAUUUUGUUGAAUUUUUUUGUAAAUAUCAUAUCAAAACACAUUGUAUUCCAACAGCCAUACCCAUAAAAUAAAUGUACUUCAGAAAAAGAAAUUGAACAAUAACAACAACAUUAAUCCCAAGUAAAAAAACAAUAAACAAAAAUUGUAAAACAUAACCUUGCUUAUUGUUGUUGUUGUUGUUUGUCUGUCUGUUUGUUUGUUUGAUGUUUUUUGUUUUGUUUUGUUUUGUUUUUUUUCUGAAUAUGUAUUCGUUUUAGGAUAUGAAAUACCAUCCCAAUGAUAUCCAUUAAAAGUCAUUUUACUCAUUUUGAUUUGAUUUUGAUUUUUUUUACAUAAUUUUUUUUUACAUGUACAUAAACAAUAUGCACACUUCAGUACAAGGCAAAGAAUGCAAACUUCCACAUAAAGAGAAAGUUUUCCAACAAUGGCAUUUUAGUCUUUAUUCCUGUUAUCAUUUCAUUUGAUAAUUAUUUUCUCUACCUUUCCUUUUCAACCGAUCAUGAAUAUUGUUCCAAAUUCUUCAAAGUUUUCAUUGAUUGGUGCAAGCAACGUGAUUGAGAAGUAAUAUAACAACCAUAAAUUACAACCACACAACAAUGUGAAUAUGCUUCAGAUGGAGGUCCCCAUAGUUACAAGUAGGAUAUUUAUUUAUUUAUUUAUCUGAAUGUUAACAUUCUACAUUUGGUUCAUUCUUUCACAAACAUUGUAUGGUUUACCUCUCUCUAAGUAAUUAUGUAUGUAUGUAUGUAUUAAUAUAUAUAUAUAUAUAUAUAUAUCAUAGGAAUAGAUAAGAUGAGAGACAAUAUUCACUAUCCAAGGCAUCACCUUAUUUCCUAUCUUCCUGUUGUUGUCCAUUGAAAGUCUGUCAGUUGCUCUUUCAUCUUUCCAUGAAGAUUUUCAAGUACUUUCUCCCUUUUUGUGCAAAAAAUAAUUAAAUAUACAUAUUUUUCUUGCAUGGUUUUGACGUUGCUUUAACAUGAGCAAAACCCUAAAACCACCAAAAAAUAAUAAAUCAAUCAAUUCAGGUGAUGUGACGAUGUCAAAGAAUAUGAAAUUUUACUCAAUUUACAUGUAUUGGUGGUAUAUUAAGCAUACCCAAUUCACGUGCGAGAUCCAAUCUCCCUCAUAUGUGUAAUCAACUACUCACUUUUGUUUUGUAGGAAACCUCAUAUCGUUGGAAUAUUAUAUCACUUAUUCGUAGUGAUCGAUUGACAGUAUUAAAAAUAGAAAAAAACAAGAAAUUUGUUUGCAACAAUCCAGGAACAAAAUAUAGACACGCUUCUGGUCAUUGUAUAAUUAAACAGAAAAAGUCAUCCACAGAAUAGAAUGAUAAUAUGAAAAAGAACCCAUCUCAUGAAAUCUUAUGAAGAAGAAUAUCCGCAGACAUAUUACAUUCAAGUGUUUCAAUCUUUUUUUGUAUUAACACCAAUUCCACACAACCCCCCCUCUCUCUAAUUAUUAUUAUUAUUAUUAUUAAUUUGUUGUUUAUAAAUAUUAUAUUAUUACUUGACUAUUUCACCUUUUUUAUUUUAUUUUAUUUUUUAAAUCUUUUUCUGCCCCUUAAU